GUGGUGAUGGUGGUGGCGGUGGUGGUUGGGGGGGUGCGGCCAAAGCAAUGAAACAUUUCUGAUCUGCAAUCUGCAGAGGCAAGAGAAGCUGCACCUGUGGUUUCCUUCCUCCUGACUUGGCCUUGCUCCAUGCAGCCUUUCAGAGAAAUGAAAUCCAUAUGCCUCUCCGUCCUCCUCCGCUAGAAUUAAAGGGGAUGCUUUCAUGUGAGGAGCCUCUAUCAGUGAAGAGGAGGGUGUGUGUGGCGGCUCCACACACGUCUGUGUCGCUCUCAGAGCCGGUGCCUGCGUUGCAUUGUGGGAUAGCAAAGCCAGUCUUUCUCCCCUCACACUCAGGGCCAAUUGACAUCAAUGAGCUCCCCUCCUCUGAGGAGGACAGGGGAGGCAGGGACAGAGGGGGAAAUCUACAGUGAAAUAAUUAGCAGGAGAAGGACCCUCUGCUCUUUCAAUCUGUCUUCCUGGUAUCUGGCUCCUCAGAGCUUCCUGGUAUCGGCUCAGACCUCAUUUUCUUUCAUGGAUUUUUUUUUUUCCUUUUUGUCUCUUUUUUUGAACCCCUAUUCUUGUGGAAUCCAUUUCACUUCAUUUUUUGGAUUUUGUUUCUAAUUGGCGUCACAAGUUCCCCUUCUGUAUUUCAAACAUGCGCUGAUUGCUGCUUUCACCAGGCUCUUAGUGUUUGAUCUUCAGCCAUCUUUCUGGUGUCCUUUUUCAAAGCUGAAACAUGAAGCACCCCACUCAUCUCUGAUAAAUUACAAGGAUUUACUUGGAGUGUUAAUUGUGACCUCACUCUCUUUCUUCGUGUUUUAGGGCACGUAAGGCCGUCACUGUUAUUAGCCCACGGGGAACAAGACUGCUAAUCGUUUAAUGAGAGAGAAAGAAGGGUGUCUGAGUUGUUUUGAAAGUCAGUGACUUCCCCAAAACCCCAAAUUUAUAUUUUUACAAACUUGGACACUAUAGUUCACCCUUUCGAGAAGCAGUUGUGUCUCAAUUAUUUUAGCAUAUACUGGUAACAACUAUUGAGGAUGACUCGACAAUAACACAGUGCCAUUUAAGACAUUAUUAAUAAUAAUUGAACACCAACUGAGGGUAAUCAUUCUACAUUGUCAUCUCAUCACAUCUCAUCAUCACUUCCUGCUCAUUUUCCAGGGAUUGAAUGAAUGACUGAAUGUGAUGACACACACACACACACACACACACACACACACACACACACACACACACACACACACAC
ensembl:lncRNA